UAAAUUAUAUAGAGUCUGGCCUGCCCACUGAUAGUUUUUAAGGGCCGCGGUAAUUUGACCGUGCGAAGGUAGCAUAAUCAGUAGCCUUUUAAUUGGAGGCUGGAAUGAAGGGUCGGACAAGGGGGAAGCUGUCUUUUUUACAAUUUUUGAAUUUUACUUUUAAGUGAAAAGGCUUAAAUGGGUUGGGGGGACGAUAAGACCCUAUAAAAUUUUACAAAAUCGGAGUUUUUUUUGAAUUAAGGUUUAAAUUCUUUAAUUCCUUGUUUGUUGUGUUGGGGCGACAAAGAUAAAAAUUAGUAACUGUCAUUUAAUUAGAAUAAGUAUAAUUAGUUUAGUUGAUCCUUUGUUAGAGAUUAAAAGAUUAAGUUACUUUAGGGAUAACAGCGUAAUUUUCCUUGAGAGUUCCUAUCGACAGGAGUAGUUGCGACCUCGAUGUUGAAUUAAGGUUUCUUUUAAGUGUAGCAGCUUAAUAAGUGGGUCUGUUCGACCCUAAAAAUCUUACAUGAUUUGAGUUCAA
rnacentral:rRNA from 1 species